CGCAGGGGAGGACGGCGAGCGAAUUGAAUCUGGACAUUCACCCAGGGAAGCAACAUAUAUCUUCUGAUAUUUGUCUUGCCUCCGGUGCAAUUUCAGUUUGUCCAGUAGUGCUCUUGACAAAUUUCUAGAAUGAGGAAUGAAAUACUUGGAGAUAGGCCACCAAUUCGGUGUUGAACUCAGGUUUACACAUUGGUGCACAUGAUGUGUCAAUCAAACAUACUAUAGCCCUCAUAUAAUGGCUACUGCUGUUUGCAAAGUAAGAAUCGAAUGAUGCAAAGAGAUUUAUGUUGUAGAAGAACUUACAAGGUAGUCUCUGAAGCCCUUUCAUUGGAAUUUGACGAAAUUCACAACCACAUAGGUCACACACAAUUUAAGCCUCCAUGGUAUUAAAUAUGCCAUGUCUGUCGGUCCUCUGUUUAGAAAUGUUUUAGUCACAUAUUCUUAUGUAUUACGGUAUGACAAAAUUAGAACUUCAGGCCGUUGUUAACCGUGUUUCUCCUUUGUUGGUCUUCUCUUAAUUUGUUUGUUUGCUUCAGGAUGCCCCUAAUUUUCUAACAAAUGCAUGUGAGUAAAGAUUACAAUGGCUCAAAUAGCAUGUAGAUUUAAUAAACCGAAUAAUUGAUUGUUGGUGUUGUUUUACUGAUUAGCUUAGAAGCAGAGACUUAGCAUGGGGGACUGCCGCUUGAAGAGAUGCAAAUGUUGCAACUUCACCAGAGGUUCUAUGUUGGAAGUUGUGUGUGUCGGUGGUUCAAGUUCACAAGGAUUGGCACCAUGGACUGGAGAAUUGUCGCAA